AUUGAACGCUGGCGGCAGGCCUAACACAUGCAAGUCGAACGAGUGGCGGACGGGUGAGUAAUGCCUGGGAAACUGCCUGAUGGAGGGGGAUAACUACUGGAAACGGUAGCUAAUACCGCAUACCAUCAGAUGUGCCCAGAUGGGAUUAGCUUGUUGGUGGGGUAACGGCUCACCAAGGCGACGAUCCCUAGCUGGUCUGAGAGGAUGACCAGCCACACUGGAACUGAGACACGGUCGAGACCCCUACGGGAGGCAGCAGUGGGGAAUAUUGCACAAGGGGGGCAAGCCGGAUGCAGCCAUGCGGCGUGUAUGAAGAGGGCCUUCGGGUGUUAAAGUACUUUCAGCGGGGAGGCGUUACCCGCAGAAGAAGCACCGGCUAACUCCGUGCCAGCCGCCGCGGUAAUUC
rnacentral:rRNA from 1 species